rnacentral:rRNA from 1 species
AACGAACGCUGGCGGCAUGCCUAACACAUGCAAGUCGAACGAGAUCUUCGGGUCUAGUGGCGCACGGGUGCGUAACGCGUGGGAAUCUGCCCUUUGGUUCGGAAGAACAGUUGGAAACGACUGCUAAUACCGGAUGAUGACGAAAGUCCAAAGAUUUAUCGCCAGAGGAUGAGCCCGCGUAGGAUUAGCUAGUUGGUGUGGUAAAGGCGCACCAAGGCGACGAUCCUUAGCUGGUCUGAGAGGAUGAUCAGCCACACUGGGACUGAGACACGGCCCAGACUCCUACGGGAGGCAGCAGUGGGGAAUAUUGGACAAUGGGCGAAAGCCUGAUCCAGCAAUGCCGCGUGAGUGAUGAAGGCCUUAGGGUUGUAAAGCUCCUUUACCCGGGAUGAUAAUGACAGUACCGGGAGAAUAAGCUCCGGCUAACUCCGUGCCAGCAGCCGCAGUAA